rnacentral:rRNA from 1 species
AUUGAACGCUGGCGGCAGGCUUAACACAUGCAAGUCGAACGGCAGCGGGGGAGAAGCUUGCUUUUCCUGCCGGCGAGUGGCGAACGGGUGAGUAAUACAUCGGAACGUGCCCUGUAGUGGGGGAUAACUAGUCGAAAGAUUAGCUAAUACCGCAUACGACCUGAGGGUGAAAGUGGGGGACCGCAAGGCCUCAUGCUAUAGGAGCGGCCGAUGUCUGAUUAGCUAGUUGGUGGGGUAAAGGCCUACCAAGGCGACGAUCAGUAGCUGGUCUGAGAGGACGAUCAGCCACACUGGGACUGAGACACGGCCCAGACUCCUACGGGAGGCAGCAGUGGGGAAUAUUGCACAAGGGGCGCAAGCCUGAUGCAGCCAUGCCGCGUGUAUGAAGAAGGCCUUCGGGUUGUAAAGCCCUUUAGGUUGGGAAGAAGGGUGUAGGUUGAUAAGGCCUAUACUUUGACGGUACCGACAGAAUAAGCACCGGCAAACUCUGUGCCAGCCGCCGCGGUAAAAC